rnacentral:rRNA from 1 species
CAGUCGCCGCGGGAAUACAGAGGGUGCAAGCGUUAAUCGGAAUUACUGGGCGUAAAGCGUGCGUAGGCGGUUCGUUAAGUCUGUUGUGAAAGCCCCGGGCUCAACCUGGGAAUGGCAAUGGAUACUGGCGAGCUAGAGUGUGUCAGAGGAUGGUGGAAUUCCCGGUGUAGCGGUGAAAUGCGUAGAGAUCGGGAGGAACAUCAGUGGCGAAGGCGGCUACCUGGACCAGCACUGACACUGAAGCACGAAAGCGUGGGGAGCAAACAGGAUUAGAUACCCCCGUAGUCCCUGUCUCUUAUAC